CUUGACCUCGGAUCAGGUGAGGAUACCCGCUGAACUUAA
rnacentral:rRNA from 1 species